AGCGAACGUUUGCGGCGGGCCUAACACAUGCAAGUCGAACGCACUAGCAAUAGUGAGUGCCGCACGGGUGCGUAACACGUGGGUAAUCAACCCUUCAGCUUGGGAUAACGACUUGAAAGGGUCGCUAAUACCGGAUACGGCGCGGGAGGCUUCGGCUUCUCACGAGAAAGCCUCGCAAGGGGCACUGAAGGACGAGCCUGCGGCCCAUCAGCUAGUUGGUGAGGUAAGAGCUCACCAAGGCGAAGACGGGUAGCUGGUCUGAGAGGAUGAUCAGCCACACUGGAACUGAGACACGGUCCAGACUCCUACGGGAGGCAGCAGUGGGGAAUAUUGCGCAAUGGGCGAAAGCCUGACGCAGCCACGCCGCGUGAGCGAUGAAGGCCUUC
rnacentral:rRNA from 1 species